rnacentral:rRNA from 1 species
UACAUGGGGUGCAAACGUUGCUCGGAAUUAUUGGGCGUAAAGCGCGCGUAGGCGGUUACUUAAGUCGGAUGUGAAAGCCCUCGGCUUAACUGAGGAAGUGCACCCGAAACUGAGUAGCUGGAGUACGAAAGAGGGUCGCGGAAUUCCCGGUGUAGAGGUGAAAUGCGCAGAUAUCGGGAGGAACACCCGUAGCGAAGGCGGCACUCUGGGCAACUACUGACGCUGAGGAGCGAAAGCGUGGGGAGCGAACAGG